rnacentral:lncRNA from 1 species
AUGUGCCACCAUGCGUGUUGUCAGCUCAGCAGAAAGCAGCCAGAGGCGGGCAGGUCCAGAGCUGUGCCACCUCCUGCCGCACCCUGGCUCUGCAGGCCGGGAGCUGAGGGCGCUGUGAGAGGAGAGAGCAGGCACCCUGCCCCUCACAGUGACAGCCCGAGUCCUGCCACGCAUCCCCACACCUCCUCGGGAGAGAUGCCUUUGCCUAUAGCGGAGAAGCACCAAGUCAUCCUUCCCUUAAGGAGCUUUCUUUGUCUUUCUGUAUUUUAACAUUGAAAUCAAGUAGCAGAAUGAUUUGCCGACUUUCAUCACUGGCCUCCUAAAUCUAAUUUUAAUCUCUGUACAAAUGAACGCACUUUUACAAAAUCCUCAGUGUUUUUGUACCAUUCAGCGGCAGCCUCUGGGGGCCUAAACUCUAAGGAAGCAGGCAGCCAAGGGAGGGAGACCAGGUGGAGGUCACAGACGCCCCAGGGGACCAAGCAAGGAGUUGGGACCCAGCCCUCCUGGCCCAACAUCAGGCCUCAGGACAAACUUGACAAGAUGUCUUCCGCGUGAGCCAUUUUUAUUAGUGUCGUUUGAGACUCAAAAUGUCUACUCUGUUUAACCAGAUCAUCUUUCUGACAUUACUACGUGAAAACUGGAUUAGAC